CCCAGACUCCUACGGGAGGCAGCAGUGGGGGAUAUUGCACAAUGGGGGGAACCCUGAUGCAGCGACGCCGCGUGGGUGAAGAAGUAUUUCGGUAUGUAAAGCCCUAUCGGCAGGGAAGAAAUUGGACGGUACCUGACUAAGAAGCCCCGGCUAACUACGUGCCAGCAGCCGCGGUAAUACGUAGGGGGCCAGCGUUAUCCGGAUUCACUGGGUGUAAAGGGAGCGUAGACGGCCAUGCAAGCCUGGAGUGAAAGCCCGGGGCCCAACCCCGGGACUGCUCUGGGAACUGUGCGGCUGGAGUGCGGGAGGGGCAGGCGGAAUUCCUGGUGUAGCGGUGAAAUGCGUAGAUAUCAGGAGGAACACCGGCGGCGAAGGCGGCCUGCUGGACCGCGACUGACGUUGAGGCUCGAAAGCGUGGGGAGCAAACAGGAUUAGAUACCCUCGUAA
rnacentral:rRNA from 1 species